AAUAACUGAGAACUGUGGAAGUGAAGACACCAAGGCAAAUAUUGGUUUGCAUUGUGUGCACACACACCAACAUGCACACACACACAACAUGCAGACCCUCACACCAACAUGCACACACCCUCACACCAACAUGCACACACGCUCACACCAACGUGCACACACAACAUGCACACACUCUCACACCAACAUGCACGCACACACACCAACAGUACGCACUCUCACAUCAACAUGCACACACGCUCACAUCAACAUGCACACACACCAACAGGCACACACUCUCACACCAACAUGCACACUCACACCAACGUGCACACAAACAUGCACACACACACUAACAUGCAUAUACCAAUAUGCACGCACACCAACAUGUACACACACCAAUGUGCACACAUACACACCAACAUGCACACACCCUCACACCAACAUGCACACACACCAACCUGCACACACCCUCACACCAACAUGCACACACGCCAACAUGCAACAUACCAUACACACAACAUGCACACACCCUCACACCAACAUGCACACAUACACACCAGCAUGCACACACCCUCACACCAACAUGCACACACACCACUGUGCACCCAUACCAACAUGCACACAUACACACCAAAAUGCACACACACCAACAUGCACACUCAAACCAACAUGCACACAUACACCAACAUGCACACUCACAUCAACAUGCACACACCCUUACACCAAUAUGCACACAUACACCAACGUGCACUCACGCCAACAUGCACACUCACACCAACAUGCACACACCUUUACACCAAUAUGCACACAUACACCAACAUGCACACUCACACCAACAUGCACACUUAUCCCAUGCACAUAUACACCAAUAUGCACACAUACAACAUGCACACACCAACAUGCACACAUACAACAUGCACACACCAUGCACACUCACACCAGCAUGCACUCAUACCAUGCACAUAUACACCAACAUGCACACAUGCAACAUGCACACACCAACAUGCACACAUGCAACAUGCACACACCAACAUGCACACUCACACCAACAUGCACACUCGUACCAACAUGCACACAUACACCAACAUGCACACUCACACCAACAUGCACACUCACACCAACAUGCACACUCACACCAACAUGCACACACCCCAACAUGCACACAUACACCAACAUGCGCACACACCAACAUGCACACAUACACCAACAUGCACACACACCAACAUGCACUCACACACCAACAUGCACACACACCAACAUGCACUCACACCAACAUGCACACUCACACCAACAGGCACACACACCAACAUGCACACUCACACCAACAUGCACACUCACACCAACAUGCACACACAUGCACAUACAACAUGCACACUCACACCAACAUGCACACACACCAACAUGCACACUCACACCAACAUGCACACUCACACCAACAUGCACACACAACAUGCACACACACCAACAUGCACACACAACAUGCACACUCAACCAACAUGCACACACACCAACAUGCACACAUACAUCAACAUGCACACUCACACCAACAUGCACACAUACACCAUACACACACACACCAAUAUGCACACUCAAAACACUCACACCAAUAUGCACACACUCAUACCAACAGGCACACACACACCAACAUGCACACAUACACACCAAUAUGCACACACUUAUACCAACAUGCAUACACACACCCAACGUGCACACACACA
rnacentral:lncRNA from 1 species